CAAUAAAUCUUUCUUACCUUUCUACCCCCGACCAUACUCUCAAACCCAAACCCUCCGCAGGCAGCUGGGACAUAAAUUGACGAUACGAACAGGAUUGAGAGGCUCUGGUCCGGAGAGAAAGGUCGGAAUGGAGGGAGUUGUGUGGGCCCCGUUAGUAGCUUUGCUUAAGGAGGUGACGGGGAUAGAGAAUCCCGGGUGGGAUAAGGAUAGGUUGAGACCUGCCUGGAGUGACCCGGGAACUGUACCCAAUCAUUGGGCUAGGUUUGCUACUGCUGCCCGGGGUAAGCCCGAGAAGGGGUGCCUGUCAUGGCUGCUGGCAACAUGCCUGCGGUUAGGGGCCAAAGAGAAUGCCCAGCUCUGGGAGGAGGUCAUCUGGCUGAGUAAGGAGUUAAAAGAUGUGAGAAAUUCCAACAGCGUGGCAGGUCAUGAGAGCUAUGCAGAGCUGCUUGGAAACAUUCAAACAGAAGAAAGGAAAAAUUAUGGUCCUGUGCGUAGCUGCUCCCCUCCAAAAGAAAGUGCAGUUAGUGCAGGCUAUGAAGCGAUCCUCCCACAAGUGUCUGUAUAGAGAUAAACCAAAAGUUAAGCUCUGGGAAAAUCAAAGGGAAGAAAUUUAUGGAGAGGAGGAGAUUUAUGACGUGCCUGGUGCUGAAACACCCCCGUAUGUUCCUGCCCAGAGGGAGGAACCUAGCCAGGCCUUCCCCGCCCCGAGGGAGAAACUCAGCCAAGUUUUUCCUGUGGUGAUAACUCAUUCAAGGACGCAAGGAGAGAAUCCCCGAACAGAGCUGCAUUCCUUUAUCUGUGCAAAGAGUAAAAAUAUUCAAAAGGAGCAUGAAUGCAAGCCAGGAAAACCAGUAAUAGACUGGCUACUUCAAAUGUAUAGUGAAGGGGCAUUUGCAAUUUCAGUAAAUAGAGCCAAAGCAGCCCAAAUGGUUCUGUGCCCUGAUCUCCAGUUAAAUCAGUUUGCAAGAAGUGAUGAAAAUCACUUUGUUACUUUGUUUUCUGCUGCACUUCAAGCCACUGCAGCCAGCUAUGGUAAUAUAGAAGAAGAGCUUAACCCUGCCUCUUGGGCAUGUGCCAAUUUAAAAGAGGCUCUCCACUACUUGUAUCUAUUAUCACUAACUGAAAUCAUUCGUACAGCGGUUUGGACUCACAUGCCAGAUGCAGAAGUCGUGACAGCACUGCUGUGGAGGAGGUUUUGCUGGCAACCACCAACAAAGUGCACCUCAGCCUUGUUGGCCUUGGAGCCAGAUGCGGUGAAUCACCCAGUAAGAGAUGCGAUCCAGCAAUUAGUGCAGCUUCUACCCAUUUUGCAGAAGCCAAGGCUUACCAAGCUGAUGAAAACUGCCAAGGCCAUGGCAGUGAGCUCGGUGAAAGAUAAACCCCCUGACCCCCCCGCCAAAUUGUUGAGAAAAGCUGGGAAAGGCCGGCCCAAGACUCCACAAGCAAAAAUGUGGAAAGACUUGUUAGCUGCCUGUUACAAUGAAGUGCAAAUCAAUAGACUGCCCAUCAAUGCCUUGCAAGGGCUAAGAGCUAAACACUGUACCAAAAGGACAAGACCAAAAGCAGAGCCUUUUGUGCCACCAAUAGUGUCACCAGAGAGAUUCUGUGCCCUGAGGGCAAAACUGUCAACAUUUUCCCAGGCACAUGCAGAGCCGCCAGCCUUUACCCUGCCUGAUCACAUGGCCUAAGGAGUCCGGCCAGCCCAACCCCCAAAGAAAAGAGCCACAAUGGGGGUAGUAGCAGGCCAAGAACUUGUAUCUAAAGUUAAUAUUGGGCCCUUAAUUCAGAUACCUGUACAGAUUCAAUUAAGUAAAAGUGAAAAGUCAAUUGAUAUACUAUUAAACACGGGUGCCCAGAUUUGCAUUUCAGAUUCCACAGAUUGGAAGGGGGAGAAAGGAACCCCUUAUCAAGUAAUUAGAGUCGGAGGCACCAGACGACCAGGACAUCUAGUCCGAGCAACCUUCGUAUUACCUAAUGGCUCUAAGCUGCUGUCCCAUCAUUACCAGCCUUGACAGAAAGCAUCCGAUGUUAUGGACCCGUGUGGAUGGGAUCCGUUGAUAUCAAAGACAUGUUUUUUGCUAUUUCCAUCCAGGAGAGCCACUGGCCAGUAUUUGCUUUUAUGUGGAUAGGGCAGCAUGCUGCCCCAGGGAUGAAUACACAGCCCCACCCUGGCUCAUGGAGUUUUAGCUACAAUAGUUCAUGAAGUUCAAGAAAAGUAACCUGAUGUACGCAUGUGGCAGUACAUCGAUGACAUCAUGGUAGGCAGUCAAGACAGAGAGGCUGCCAUCAAGGCCUUUGAAUCAUUGAAAGAAAAAGUGCUUACCUUUGGAUUCACACUGUCUGAACAAAAAAUCCAAGAGGUCGGGCCCCAGUGUGAAUUUCUAGGAAUAGAAUGGCAGAAUGGGAGGCCCACAAUACCAGCUGAGGAGCUGCGAAAUAUAGUAGAGACCCCGACUCCCACUAAUGUGAAAGAGCUGCAAGCCCAAUUGGGAGCACUACAUUUCUGGCGUAUGCAUGUUCCUGAGUUUAGCAUAUUGGCUCGUCCCUUGUAUAAUCUAUGUAAAAAGAGAACUAAAUGGGAAUGGGGUCCUGAGCAUAAAUAUGCCUUACAAGCCCUUAAAGAAGCAGUAAGUGUUCAUGCCUCUCUAGCAGCACGACGUCCCGAAGGAGAGCUUUGGCUCCAUAUAGGUGUCUCGGAAGGAGGACCAC